rnacentral:tRNA from 1 species
GAGGGUAUAGCUCAGUGGUAGAGCACAUGAUUAGCAUGCACAAGGCCCUGGGUUCAAUCCUCAGUACUUCCA